UACCCAGGGUUUGCCUUAGUAACGGCGAAGUGAAGCGGGCAAGAGCUCAAUUUGUGAAAAUCUAGCACCUUCGGGUGUUCGAGUUGUAAUUUCGAAGAAUGUAUCUUUGGAGUUGGCCCUUGUCGUAUGUUCCUUGGAACAGGACGUCACAUGAGGGUGAGAAUCCCGUGCGAUGAGGAGUCCAAUUCUAUGUAAAGUUCCUUCGAAGAGCGAGUUGUUUGGGAAUGCAGCUCUAAGUGGGUGGUAAAUUCCAUCUAAAGCUAAAUAUUGGCGAGAGACCGAUAGCGAACAAGUACAGUGGUGAAAAAGUACGUGAAAUUGUUGAAAGGGAAGGGCUUUUGAUCAGACUUGGUGUUUAGUAUGGAAAGAUGAAAAGAACUUUGAAAAGAGAACUCUCUGCUCCUUGUGGGUGGGGCUCUUGCUUUAUACUGGGCCAGCAUCGGUUUUGAUGGCAGGAUAAUGACUUUGGAACGUGGCUUCAUUCGUGAAGUGUUAUAGCCUUUGUUGAUACUGCCUAUCGAGACCGAGGACUGCGUCUUUGACUAGGAUGCUGGCGUAAUGAUUAAAAGCCG
rnacentral:rRNA from 1 species